rnacentral:rRNA from 1 species
CAGUCGCCACGGUAAAACGUAGGUGGCAAGCGUUGUCCGGAAUUAUUGGGCGUAAAGGGCUCGCAGGCGGUUUCUUAAGUCUGAUGUGAAAGCCCCCGGCUCAACCGGGGAGGGUCAUUGGAAACUGGGAAACUUGAGUGCAGAAGAGGAGAGUGGAAUUCCACGUGUAGCGGUGAAAUGCGUAGAGAUGUGGAGGAACACCAGUGGCGAAGGCGACUCUCUGGUCUGUAACUGACGCUGAGGAGCGAAAGCGUGGGGAGCGAACAGGAUUAGAUACCCCUGUAGUCCCUGUCUCUUAUAA